rnacentral:tRNA from 1 species
AGUCUUAUAGUUUAUGAAGAACAUGAAAUUGCAAGUUUCAAGGAAAAUUUAAUAUUUAAGACUU